rnacentral:rRNA from 1 species
AUACGGAGGAUCCGAGCGUUAUCCGGAUUUAUUGGGUUUCAAGGGUGCGCAGGCGGGAGAUUAAGUCGGCGGUGAAAUUUUGCAGCUCAACUUUAAAAGUGCCUUCGAAACUGGGUUCCUUGAGUGUAGAUGAAGUAGGCGGAAUUUGUGGUGUAGCGGGGAAAUGCAUAGAUAUCACGAUGAACUCCGAUUGCGCAGGCAGCUUACUUAACUACUUCUGACGCUCAGGCCCGAAGGCGUGGGGAUCAAACAGGAUUAGAUACCCUGGUAGUCCACGCAGUAAACGAUGAUUACUAGCUGUUUGCGAUACAAUGUAAGCGGCUGAGCGAAAGCGUUAAGUAAUCCACCUGGGGAGUACGUUCGCAAGAAUGAAACUCAAAUAAAUUGGCGGGG